GUUAGAUUGAAGAAGCUUGCUUCUGAUUGAUAACAUUUGAGUGAGUGGCGGACGGGUGAGUAACACGUGGGUAACCUGCCCUAAAGUGGGGGAUAACAUUUGGAAACAGAUGCUAAUACCGCAUAAAACCUAGCACCGCAUGGUGCAAGGUUGAAAGAUGGUUUCGGCUAUCACUUUAGGAUGGACCCGCGGUGCAUUAGUUAGUUGGUGAGGUAAAGGCUCACCAAGACCGUGAUGCAUAGCCGACCUGAGAGGGUAAUCGGCCACACUGGGACUGAGACACGGCCCAGACUCCUACGGGAGGCAGCAGUAGGGAAUCUUCCACAAUGGACGAAAGUCUGAUGGAGCAACGCCGCGUGAGUGAAGAAGGUUUUCGGAUCGUAAAACUCUGUUGUUGGAGAAGAACGUAUUUGAUAGUAACUGAUCAGGUAGUGACGGUAUCCAACCAGAAAGCCACGGCUAACUACGUGCCAGCAGCCGCGGUAAUACGUAGGUGGCAAGCGUUGUCCGGAUUUAUUGGGCGUAAAGCGAGCGCAGGCGGUUUCUUAAGUCUGAUGUGAAAGCCUUCGGCUCAACCGAAGAAGUGCAUCGGAAACUGGGAAACUUGAGUGCAGAAGAGGACAGUGGA
rnacentral:rRNA from 1 species